GGGGGUGCUUGCUGGAUGGAUAAGAGAAAGAGUAGUCGCGAUACGGCGGGCGAAUACACUCGCGGCAAUGCGGCCCCCCAACCGGGCAGAAAACACACACAUACACGCAGAUCGCGCUACAAAUACAUGUUAGCGGGAAGAGUAGAAGCUAUCAGUAAAGAAGUGUUGUGAAACUACUAAUACGUUUUUCAUUUAAUUACUGAUAAUAAUUUCAAGAACAAACCAUUAAAAUUGAGUAACCAAUUAGAUUAGUUUGAUUCAAUAUUUUAAAUUAAAAACUAUUUAUCCAAUAAUAAUCCAAUUGUAUAGAGCAAUAUAAAAUGCUGUUUCAAAUGUUUGGAAAUAAUUUACUUUAUCUACUUGCACCUGCACCAAAUAAUCCAGCGUACCCGCUUCUAAUGACAGUUAAGCCAACCCUUCCCCGUGCGCAUUAAAUUUUUGAUAAAAUAAACAAACAAAGCGUAUUAUACCACUACCAGCACGCACGCAUCACCUCCAUCUACAACACGCUCUCACAAUCUUGGUGCGCGUGAAAAGCGGCUGCUCACUUACACCAACACCUGCUGUGCACGGUAGCGGUGUACACCUUGAAAACGUCUAUCGACCAGCGUAGCCGGCGCCUCGGUUAGUGUGUCCACACAGCAGCGAGCCACAAGUUGACCAGUUGCCAAUCUUGCCAACCCGAUCAUUAUCGUUGCAGGCAGGCAAGGGUGAAAAUUUGCUACUCCCAACCAACAGCAACAAAAAAAAACAUUUGCAUUCAGAUAUUGGAGAAGGUGCUUUUCAGGAAAAAAAAGGUAACAUCCCCCCCAAGUGUGUUCGUGCGUGACGAGUAACAAACGAGCGGUUUGCAUGCCGGAAGAACGUAUCGCAUAUUUUCUUUCAUACUGAGUAGCCGCUCAUCUUCGGUGAAAAAUGGGCACGAGGGUGUGUUUUGCAUCCGCAAAGAAACAGAAAGGAGGUUCUAAAGUACACAUUACACACCAUCGGCUUGCAAGAUAUAUCGAAAGGAAACUAUCCUGCCUUAGCUACAAUAUCCGCGGAGCAAACAGCAAAGAAAACGCGUUCACUCGGUGCGGAGAACCAUGUGCUAAUUAAUUUCUGAUAACACACAUACACUCGCCGGCUAGUACUGUGUCUCAAAGACAGUCGCAAAGAAAGCAGCAAAUAAUAGGCAUGAAGUCAUCCGGGGUGUGCGGUUGACAUGACUAGUCCACCGCCAAAGACAUGAGUAAUGGCUGUAUUAUUAGCGACGGCUGACACGGUUGACAAAAUCGAAACAGUAACAAAAAAAACGUAAGCAACGUGAUAGGCUGUAAAUCAGCUUGAUUAGUGUGUAUGCGUGUGUAUUCGCACGAAUUCUUGAUAAGAUGUAAAAAGGUGGUCCAAAUCAACUAAAUCAUUACUCAUGAUCAUGGUAGAUUUGUUAGCAAAAACCGAUUAGCUUGAAAUAAGAAAGUCUAUUCCUCGAUUUGUGUUUUAAGUAAGAAAUUAUUGAUGCUUCAGCCGUCCGUACGUUUGACCGUUAGUGAUCACCGAGUGAUUCCUGCCAGAACGAUCGUCAGUUCAAAUCUCAAACUUGAAAAAAAAUCGUUCUUCAAAAAAAUCUAUUUGUAACAUUCAAUCAAUUGAUUCAGAAGAAAGUAAGUUUGACAUGAUGAUACACAAACAAUAAAAUAAUGAGCAUCUUCAGUUCA